AGUUAAAACUUUCAACAACGGAUCUCUUGGCUCUGGCAUCGAUGAAGAACGCAGCGAAAUGCGAUAAGUAAUGUGAAUUGCAGAAUUCAGUGAAUCAUCGAAUCUUUGAACGCACAUUGCGCCUGAUAGUAUUCUGUCAGGCAUGCCUGUUCGAGCGUCAUUU
rnacentral:rRNA from 1 species